rnacentral:rRNA from 1 species
UCAAGUUAUUAAGGGUGCAGGGCGGAUGCCUUGGCACUAGGAGCCGAUGAAGGACGUGAUAAGCUGCGAUAAGCUUCGGGGAGUUGCACGUAAACUUUGAUCCGAAGAUUUCCGAAUGAGGAAACUCACUUAGAGUAAUGUCUAAGUAUCAUUAAGUGAAUACAUAGCUUAAUGAGGGGAACUCAGGGAACUGAAACAUCUAAGUACCUGAAGGAAGAGAAAGAAAUUCGAUUCCGUAAGUAGCGGCGAGCGAACGCGGAUUAGCCCAAACCAAUAAAGUUUUCUUUAUUGGGGUUGCGGACAUAUCAUAACGAAGAGGUAUCGUAAUUGAAGAGGUUUGGAAAGACCCACCACAGAAGGUAAUAGUCCUGUAUGUUAAACGAGAAGACUUCAGAUAUGAUCCAGAGUACCACGGGACACGUGAAACCCUGUGGGAAGCAGGAGGGACCACCCUCCAAGGCUAAAUACUACCUAGUGACCGAUAGCGUAUAGUACCGUGAGGGAAAGGUGAAAAGAACCCCGGGAGGGGAGUGAAAUAGAACCUGAAACCCUGCACUUACAAGCUGUGGAAGCACAUUUCUUGUGUGACCGCGUACUUUUUGUAGAACGGGCCAACGAGUUACGUUAAGUAGCAAGGUUAAGCACUUAAGGUGCGGAGCCGUAGCGAAAGCGAGUUUUAACUGAGCGUUCAGUUACUUGACGUAGACCCGAAACCGGGCGACCUACCCAUGAGCAGGAUGAAGCGAAAGUAAAAUUUCGUGGAGGUCCGAACCCACGAGCGUUGAAAAGCUCGGGGAUGACUUGUGGGUAGCGGUGAAAUUCCAAUCGAGCCCGGAGAUAGCUGGUUCUCCCCGAAAUAGCUUUAGGGCUAGCCUCAAGGUGAGAGAUACGGAGGUAGAGCACUGAAUGUCCUAGGGGGUAUUGCACCUACCGAAGACUAUCAAACUCCGAAUGCCGUCAUCUUAUACUUGGGAGUCAGACUGUGGGUGAUAAGAUUCAUAGUCGAAAGGGCAACAGCCCAGAUCGUCAGCUAAGGUCCCUAAAUGUAAGUUAAGUGGUAAAGGAUGUGGGAUUGCACAGACAACCAGGAUGUUGGCUUAGAAGCAGCCACUCAUUCAAAGAGUGCGUAAUAGCUCACUGGUCGAGUGAUCCUGCGCCGAAGAUUUCCGGGGCUAAAACUUACUACCGAAGCUACGGCAUCAGUAAUGAUGGGUAGGGGAGCUUCCCAUACGGGUUGAAGCAUGACCGUAAGGACAUGUGGACAGUAUGGGAGUGAGAAUGUUGGCAUGAGUAGCGAGAUGUGGGUGAGAAUCCCACAGGCCGUAAACCCAAGGUUUCCAGGGGAAGGUUCGUCCGCCCUGGGUUAGUCGGGACCUAAGCUGAGGCCGAAAGGCGUAGGUGAUGGACAACAGGUUGAUAUUCCUGUACUACCGAUAACCAUUUGAGAGAAGGGAUGACACAGUAGGAUAAGCUAAGCACACUGUUGGUUAUGUGUGCCCAAGCAUUGAGGCAGUCAAAGUAGGCAAAUCCGCUUUGAUAAUGCUGGGAUGUGAUGGGGAGCGAAAUUUAGUAGCGAAGUAGCUGAUUUCACACUGUCAAGAAAAGUCUCUAUCGAGGUUAAAGGUACCCGUACCGCAAACCGACACAGGUGGGUGAGGAGAGUAUCCUAAGGCCAGCGAGAGAACUGUUGUUAAGGAACUCGGCAAAAUGACCCCGUAACUUAGGGAUAAGGGGUGCCACCAUCAGGUGGCCGCAGAGAAUAGGCCCAAGCGACUGUUUACCAAAAACAUAGGUUUCUGCUAAGUCGCAAGACGAUGUAUAGGAGCUGACGCCUGCCCGGUGCUGGAAGGUUAAGGGGAUCUGUUAGAGCAAUCGAAGCAGUGAACUUAAGCCCCAGUAAACGGCGGCCGUAACUAUAACGGUCCUAAGGUAGCGAAAUUCCUUGUCGGGUAAGUUCCGACCCGCACGAAAGGCGUAACGAUUUGGGCACUGUCUCAACAACAGACUCGGUGAAAUUGUAAUUCCGGUGAAGAUGCCGGAUACCUGCGACAGGACGGAAAGACCCCAUGGAGCUUUACUGUAGCUUGACAUUGGGUCUUGGUACUACAUGUACAGGAUAGGUGGGAGGCUUUGAAACCAGGACGCCAGUUUUGGCGGAGCCAUCCUUGGGAUACCACCCUUGUAGUACUGGGACUCUAACCAUAGGCCAUGAAUCUGGUCUUGGGACACUGUCAGGUGGGCAGUUUGACUGGGGCGGUCGCCUCCCAAAAGGUAACGGAGGCGCUCAAAGGUUCUCUCAGUACGGUCGGAAAUCGUACGUAGAGUGUAAAGGCAAAAGAGAGCUUGAUUGCAAGACAUACAGGUCGAGCAAGGAUGAAAAUCGGACUUAGUGAUCCGGUGGUUCUGCGUGGAAGGGCCAUCGCUCAACGGAUAAAAGCUACCCUGGGGAUAACAGGCUUAUCUCCCCCAAGAGUCCACAUCGACGGGGAGGUUUGGCACCUCGAUGUCGGCUCAUCACAUCCUGGGGCUGUAGUAGGUCCCAAGGGUUGGGCUGUUCGCCCAUUAAAGUGGUACGCGAGCUGGGUUCAGAACGUCGUGAGACAGUUCGGUCCCUAUCCGUCGCAGGCGUAGGAAAUUUGAGAAGACCUGUCCUUAGUACGAGAGGACCGGGAUGGACGUACCUCUGGUGUACCAGUUGUUCUGCCAAGGGCAUGGCUGGGUAGCUAUGUACGGAAUGGAUAAGCGCUGAAAGCAUCUAAGCGCGAAGCCAACUUCAAGAUAAGAUUUCCCACCGCAAGGGUAAGACCCCAGAAAGACUAUCUGGUUGAUAGGUCGAAGGUGUAAGUGCAGCAAUGUAUUUAGCUUAUCGAUACUAAUAGGUCGAGGACUUGACCAA